rnacentral:rRNA from 1 species
UACGUAGGGGGCAAGCGUUAUCCGGAAUCACUGGGCGUAAAGGGUGCGUAGGCGGCCGAUAAAGUCUGGGGUGAAAGGCUACGGCUCAACCGUAGUAAGCCUUGGAAACUUAUUGGCUUGAGUGCAGGAGAGGAGAGUGGAAUUCCUAGUGUAGCGGUGAAAUGCGUAGAUAUUAGGAGGAACACCAGUGGCGAAGGCGACUCUCUGGACUGUAACUGACGCUGAGGCACGAAAGCGUGGGGAGCGAACAGGAUUAGAUACCCUGGUAGUCCACGCCGUAAACGAUGAGUGCUAGGUGUCGGAGCCGACAGGCUUCGGUGCCGCAGCUAACGCAUUAAGCACUCCGCCUGGGGAGUACGGUCGCAAGACUGAA